rnacentral:rRNA from 1 species
UGGGGAAUUUUGGACAAUGGGCGAAAGCCUGAUCCAGCAAUGCCGCGUGUGUGAAGAAGGCCUUCGGGUUGUAAAGCACUUUUGUCCGGAAAGAAAUCCUUGGCUCUAAUACAGUCGGGGGAUGACGGUACCGGAAGAAUAAGCACCGGCUAACUACGUGCCAGCAGCCGCGGUAAUACGUAGGGUGCAAGCGUUAAUCGGAAUUACUGGGCGUAAAGCGUGCGCAGGCGGUUUGCUAAGACCGAUGUGAAAUCCCCGGGCUCAACCUGGGAACUGCAUUGGUGACUGGCAGGCUAGAGUAGUGGCAGAGGGGGGUAGAAUUCCACGUGUGANCAGUGAAAUGCGUAGAGAUGUGGAGGAAUACCGAUGGCGAAGGCAGCCCCCUGGGCCAAUACUGACGCUCAUGCACGAAAGCGUGGGGAGCAACAGGAUUAGAUACCCUGGUAGUCCACGCCCUAAACGAUGUCAACUAGUUGUUGGGGAUUCAUUCCUUAGUAACGUAGCUAACGCGUGAAG